AUUGAACGCUGGCGGCAGGCCUAACACAUGCAAGUCGAGCGGAUGAAGGGAGCUUGCUCCUGGAUUCAGCGGCGGACGGGUGAGUAAUGCCUAGGAAUCUGCCUGGUAGUGGGGGAUAACGUCCGGAAACGGGCGCUAAUACCGCAUACGUCCUGAGGGAGAAAGUGGGGGAUCUUCGGACCUCACGCUAUCAGAUGAGCCUAGGUCGGAUUAGCUAGUUGGUGGGGUAAAGGCCUACCAAGGCGACGAUCCGUAACUGGUCUGAGAGGAUGAUCAGUCACACUGGAACUGAGACACGGUCCAGACUCCUACGGGAGGCAGCAGUGGGGAAUAUUGGACAAUGGGCGAAAGCCUGAUCCAGCCAUGCCGCGUGGGUGAAGAAGGUCUUCGGAUUGUAAAGCACUUUAAGUUGGGAGGAAGGGUAGUAAGUUAAUACCUUGCUGUUUUGACGUUACCAACAGAAUAAGCACCGGCUAACUUCGUG
rnacentral:rRNA from 1 species